rnacentral:lncRNA from 1 species
UUGAAUUGGGAAUACUACUCAAUGAAUGAAAUGCUGGAGAUUGAGUAACUUCUAAAGGACUUCAUCUGGCUUGUUGUUUUAGAGGCCAGCAUCUGCUAGACAUAUGGCCAAGGGCCUCUGGCUGAAUCCUACACUGAUACAGACAUCACAUGGGUCAUCUCAGAUGGAUUCUCUCUCUUGGGAAGCCACAAGUCUACCAUGAAACUGAUAGUUUUAUCUAAUCCCAAUUACUUUUCAAAGGACACACUUCAAAAAUAUCCUCAUGCUAAUUCAAGGUUUAGUUUCCAACACACAACAUUGAUGGGACACACUGAAACCAAAGUGGUGUAAAAUAAUGAUCACCAUUUAGACUCUACUUAAUAGCUGGUUGGUGAUGCUAUUUAAAUAGCCAAGUCAAAG